UGUGCAUUUUUUGACAUUAACGCGCUUAAUUUCAAAUAGGCCAAUCAGCGUACUGUAUGACUCCCGCCGGUUAACCAGAGCCUUUCCUUCAAGCUCAAGUCAGCACCAGCACAGCUCUUCCCUAACCUCCAACAAACUGAUGUGGUUGAGUCGGUCUUCACCGGAGGAGCUUAAUCAGCGGUCUGGAUUUUUAGGAAUUUGCCUCAGCCAGAAGAGGAAAUUGUGUUCACUUACCUAGGUAAGUCUCGUAAAUCAAGUCUUUAGUUGAAUUGGGUUAUUGAGAACGUUGCACAGUGCAGGGUUGUAACUUGCACUGCGGACAGCUAGCACUAGCGUGAACAUUGUUAAUAUACCCCGAAAGCUUUACGGCUAACUUGCCUACAUUAGACUUUUUCUGUAGCCUGGAAACAUGCAAUACAUAUUUAGAUGUGUUUAGGAAGACAGAUACACAAUUGUUUCAUUUACCCGGUUUGACUAUUUUUGGAAGCAGCCGGUAGAAUGCUAUAGCAGUAAAGUUAGCAUGUUAGUCUAUGAGCUGAAUGAAACCUGUGGUUAGCUAAUCGCGCUGUUCGCGUGUGGUUCACCUCGGUAUAUUUUACAAUUGAAGAUGUAUUCUUGUAACAUAUGUCGAGAAAACGUUAGGUCUGUGAAAGCAUAUGUUUUGCAUUACAAAUUGCACCGCAAUGAACCCAGAAUUAUUUUUAAAUGUGUUGGUACAAGCUGUAAGCAAGUGUUUUCAGGCUACACUGCUCUAAAGUCGCACUUCUAUCGCCACCACAACAAAACACCAACCGUUAACGUUAUUCAGGAUGUGACCAUAGUGCCAUUAAAAUGCACCGUCUCACUUUGUGACCGCCAGUGUGAUGGAACCAAACCGUUGAUUGCUCACUUAAAGGAACACAUCACAGAAGGGCGUCAGGUAGCUUGCCCGGUGAGAGGAUGCAAGAGUGUGUUCACAGGAAAAUCGUCUUUUACCUCUCACAUGUCCAGAAAACACAGACAUUGGUCAGAAAAUGUGAUUUGUACGUCAGUCCACGAUACACAAUGUGACAGUCCUACUGAUACAAAACAGGAACCUGCUAGUGUGCCUGAUGCUGAAGACACUGUAGGGGACGAGUCUAAUUUCAGUGACCUGUAUCUGAGAAAUAUGUGUAUGUUUUACAUGAAACUACAGGGACAGCAUCUCCUUCCAGUGUCUACCAUUCAAAACAUUGUUGAGGAAAUACAAAAUAUACAUGAGUUAGGACAGAGCUAUACGUUGAAUCAAAUAAAUGUGCUUCUAAAAGAUAUGUCAGUUUCAGAUGAAGAUAAAUCAUUGAUGCAAUUAAACAAUCUGACCUGUUUACAGCUUACCACAAAGGGCCUAUGAGAACUGCUUACUCACAAACGCAGUGCUUUAAAGAGAUGUUCAAAUAUGUGGAGCCCAAAAAAAUUUUGGUUUGCCAAAAUUAUGGCAAACCAAAUGGUUUGCCCAUUAUGUUCCUGUGCUAAAAACCUUAGAAGGUAUGCAGGAGUCCGGUUUUUGGCAGGGCCUUAUGUCAGUCGAUCAUUUUAAUGUUUCCAAAACAGAUGUUCUCUCUGACUGUUGUGAUGGUAAACUGUUCAUGUCGAACACAUUUUUUCAGGAAAACCCAAGUUGUCUGAAGUUGGUUUUAUACCAGGAUGCAUUCGAAGUUGUGAACCCGUUGGGCUCUGCUAAAAAGAAGCACAAGGUUUUGGCUGUGUACUUCUCUCUACUUAACAUGCCACCCCAUGUACGAUCAAAUGUUGACCACAUGCAGUUGGUUUUGUUGUGUAGAGAGAAGGAUUUUAAGGACUUUGGCCAUGCAAAGGUUUUUUCUGAACUGCUUACUGAUCUGAAAGAACUGGAGGUAAAUGGGAUAACAAUGAGAGAUGAACUUGUUUUAAAGGGAGCUCUCUAUUGCAUUGUUGGAGACAACCUGGGCUCUCACACCAUUGGUGGUUUCACAGAAAAUUUUAGUUCAUCUCAGUACUUCUGCAGAUAUUGUUUGAUUUCUCGAACUGAAUUUCAGGGUGCUGAUCCUAACAUCUGUGGACUGGAGCGGACUCCAGAAAAUUACAAAAUUAAAAAUAAAUGAAUUGAACAGCUGGAGAGAGAGGAUACUCCACAAGUUCAAGGGAUAAAGUUUAGUAUUUCAUCAAAAAGAAGAAAUGGUUCACGUGCACAAUUUUGAACAGGAGAAUCAAGCAGUUCAAAUAUAAAGCAACAGACGCUUGCUCCAAACCUUGUGAGAUAUGGCUGAAUCAGAGGAUACGCAAUGCUGUAACAGCAGUGCUUCCUGAACUUCCUGAUGAAGUUGUCAAGUCAGUUGAAGAUACUUUGAAGGCACUUGGUGCAGUAACGACAGAUGAUUUACAGUACAUUACCGAGGGAGACUUGCUGCCAGUAUUAAAGCCCAUACAAGCCAGAAGAUUAGUUGCUGCCUGGGCCCCAAACCGUGAGUGUAAAACAUAAAACAUUGCCACAACAUUGCACACUUCUCUUAUAGCAAGCACUUACAUAUUUUUUUAAUAUACAUAAUCAUUUCUGAAAAGGAUUAUGGGUAAUGAGGGAUGCUGUUCUUAGUUUCCGGUAGCAACCUCUACAGGGUGUCCAGUCAGAACACGGAAACCAGAUUGUUGUUCGAAGAGUUAUUUUCUUUAUUAAUGCUUCACACCCACAACACAGAAUAACGAUUGUUUAGUUGAAUGAGAGCAUGGAGUAAUAUGGAAUGUAUAGGACUGGGUAUGUUUGUGUGUGGUUCUGAAAUAAAGCAACAAUGCCUGUCAAGUCAAUGUCCUAUGAAAUAGGCAGUUAACAUAGCUAACCUGACACCUUAACCUGUUACGCUAAUAAGCAGCCUGACGCUAAUGUGGCUAACAAUGAAACAAAUAAGAAAGCUAGCAUAUUAGCAAACUAGCAUGUAUUAGCAUAAACAUUAGCACUGACAAACUAGCAGACUUUAGAGAAUAAGCUAAGUCACAGUGAAUUAAUAACUUAAUAAUUAAUCACUGUGAAUCUAAUGAACAAAUGUAAUGUUAGAGCUAGAAAUAUGCAUCAAGUUAUUGGUAUCAACUCACCAUUAGAUGCACGCACACCAAAUAACUUAACACGAUCUGAGUAGACAACCUGCUGCUGCAGUCUUGCCCUUCACUGGUGGGAAUGACCCUGAAAAGGAGGGUCCUAAACCGUGCUUCAGCCUUUAUACUAUCAAUAGGUGGCCAACUAAGUGCCUGAUCAAAUAAUAAUAGGACCUAUUAACUGAAAUAGAAUAACAAUGCCUGACAAAAUACAAGAGCAAUGAAACAAAACAAACAGAACUGAUUUAAUACACAGCACAG